rnacentral:lncRNA from 1 species
AGUUGACAGUUAACCUGAAACCAUCCUAAAGCAUCCAGGGUCAAAAGGAUGAAUUAUGCGGUAACCAUAUGUAUGGAUUUUGAAAUAUUCUUUUAUGAUAAUUUGACCUAUCUGAAUAUUAAAAAUUAUUGCUAGAUGGUAUCUCGAUUAGUGCAGAUAUUAGUUCCUGUGCUACCGGCUUAGUAUUUGACCCUAUGAAGUCAC